rnacentral:rRNA from 1 species
GAAGCGAAUAAGGGCGUACGGGGGAUGCCUAGGCAUCGUGUGCCGAUGAAGGACGUGGUACACUGCGAAAAGCCUCGGUGAGGUGUGUGCAACCGCAAGAACCGAGGAUGUCCGAAUGGGGAAACCCGCGUGGGGGCAUGCCCACGCAUCUACAGUUGAACGCAUAGGCUGUAGAGGGGAACCUGGGGAACUGAAACAUCUAAGUACCCAGAGGAAAGGAAAGGAUUCUGCGAGUAGUGGCGAGCGAAAGCGGAAGAGCCCAAACCGGCAAAGGCCGGGGUUGAAGGCCUGUGCAGAAGCGGCGUAGACGGUAGUUGAAGGGACUGGGAAGGCCCGCCAGAGAGGGUGAAAGCCCCGUAGACGAAACCGAAAGGGCCGUGCGCAGACGCCUGAGUACCACCAGGCACGCUAAUCUGGUGGGAAGCUGGGGAGCCCACUCUCCAAGGCUAAAUACACACGAUGACCGAUAGCGAACAAGUACCGUGAGGGAAAGGUGAAAAGAACCCCGGCGAGGGGAGUGAAACAGAACCUGAAACCGUAUGCCUACAAGCAGUCAGAGCACGGAAGUGUGAUGGCGUGCCUUUUGGAGAAUGAGCCACCGAGUUAAUGGCUGUGGCGAGCUUAAGGGAGAGACACCCGAAGGCGCAGCGAAAGCGAGUCUGAAUAGGGCGCAGAGUGGCAGUCAUUAGACACGAAACCUGGUGAGCUAUCCAUGUGCAGGUUGAAGCGAAGCUAACCCUUCGUGGAGGACCGAACCGGUAACUGUUGCAAAAGUUUCGGAUGACGUGUGGAUAGGGGUGAAAUGCCAAACGAACCAGGAGAUAGCUUGUUCUCCCCGAAACAGCUUUAGGGCUGGCGUGCGGAAGUGGUUAAUGGAGGUAGAGCACUGGAUGAGCUAGGGGCCGCAAGGUUACCAAACUCAACCAAACUCCGAAUGCCAUUAACUAAGCCGUGCAGUUGGACAACGGGAGAUGAGUUUCGUUGUCGAGAGGGAAACAACCCAGACCCACCGCUAAGGUCCCUAAGACCAAACUAAGUGGAAAACGAGGUGAGGGUGUGUAGACAGCCAGGAGGUUGGCUUAGAAGCAGCCACCCUUUAAAGAGUGCGUAAUAGCUCACUGGUCAAACGCCCUUGCGCGGAUAAUGUAACGGGGCUCAAGUUUGGCACCGAAGCGUGGGAUGCGAAAGCAUGGUAGGGGAGCGUCGUAAGCCUGAAGAAGGUAUUCUGGAAGGGAUGCUGGAGGGCUAACGAGUGAGAAUGGUGGCAUGAGUAACGACAAACAGGUGAGAACCCUGUUCGCCGCAAGUCUAAGGUUUCCGACGGAAGGACAGUCCGCGUCGGGUUAGUCGGGCCUAAGCCGAGGCCGCAAGGCGUAGGCGAUGGACAACGGGUUAAUAUUCCCGUACCGGCUGGUGGAGCAAGUGAGGGACGAGCGUGGAUAGCCCAGCCACUGAAUGGCAGAAGUGGUGGCAAGCGGUGAGAGCCGUGACGCCGGGUCUCCGGACCAGAAGUGGGUGAGUCCAGGCUUCGAGAAAAGCUCAACUGCGAAGAAGCGAGCCGCCCGUACCGCAAACCGACACAGGUAGACGAGGUGAGUAUCCACAGGCGAACGAGAGAACCCUCGUUAAGGAACUAGGCAAAAUGGCUCCGUAACUUCGGGAGAAGGAGCGCCAGUGAGAGCUGGCCGCAGAGAAAUGGCCCUGGCGACUGUUUAACAAAAACACAGGUCUCUGCGAACCCGAAAGGGGACGUAUAGGGGCUGACGCCUGCCCAGUGCCGGAAGGUUAAGAGGAGGGGUUAGCUACGGCAACGCUCCGAAUUGAAGCCCCGGUGAACGGCGGCGGUAACUAUAACCGUCCUAAGGUAGCGAAAUUCCUUGUCGGGUAAGUUCCGACCCGCACGAAAGGCGUAACGAUCAGGGCACUGUCUCAACGAGGGGCUCGGUGAAAUUGAAGGACGCGUAAAGAUGCGCGUUACCCACAGCAGGACAAAAAGACCCCGUGGAGCUUGACUGUAGCUUGCUAUUGCGUUAGGGCAUGGUCUGUGUAGGAU